GAAUCUACUAGACUAAUGAAUUAGAUAACCUUUCUAUUGUUUCUUUUAUGAUGUCUCUUGAUUAAGGUGUAAAGCAUGAACAAGCAUGAACCAUGAAGAGACUUAACUCAACUAUGAUCCAUCAAGCAUUUCACUUUCAUCCUAAUUAAGAUUUUCUCCUUUCAACUACUUCUCUUGUGUUACCCAAGUAUGGACUAUGAAGGGACUCAAAUCCAACUAUAACCCA
rnacentral:lncRNA from 1 species